rnacentral:rRNA from 1 species
CAGCUUCCAUGCAGUCGAGCGGCAGCACGGGGUAGCUUGCUCCCUGGUGGCGAGCGGCGGACGGGUGAGUAAUGCAUAGGAAUCUGCCCGGUAGUGGGGGAUAACGUGGGGAAACCCACGCUAAUACCGCAUACGUCCUACGGGAGAAAGCGGAGGCUCUUCGGACUUCGCGCUAUCGGAUGAGCCUAUGUCGGAUUAGCUAGUUGGUAAGGUAACGGCUUACCAAGGCGACGAUCCGUAGCUGGUCUGAGAGGAUGAUCAGCCACACUGGGACUGAGACACGGCCCAGACUCCUACGGGAGGCAGCAGUGGGGAAUAUUGGACAAUGGGCGAAAGCCUGAUCCAGCCAUGCCGCGUGUGUGAAGAAGGCUUUCGGGUUGUAAAGCACUUUCAGCGAGGAAGAAAGCCUUUGGGUUAAUACCCAGAGGAAGGACAUCACUCGCAGAAGAAGCACCGGCUAACUCCGUGCCAGCAGCCGCGGUAAUACGGAGGGUGCGAGCGUUAAUCGGAUUACUGGGCGUAAAGCGCGCGUAGGUGGCUUGGCACGCCGGUUGUGAAAGCCCGGGGCUCAACCUGGGAACGGCAUCCGGAACGGCCAGGCUAGAGUGCAGGAGAGGAAGGUAGAAUUCCCGGUGUAGCGGUGAAAUGCGUAGAGAUCGGGAGGAUACCAGUGGCGAGGGCGGCCUUCUGGCCUGACACUGACACUGAGGUGCGAAAGCGUGGGUAGCAACAGGAUUAGAUACCUGGUGUCACGCCGUAACGAUGUCGACUAC